GGGGCAAUCGUAUAAAGGUUUAAUAUUGGUGGCUUCCAACCAUCGGAUGUGAGUUCAAGUCUCACUUGCCCCUCCA
rnacentral:tRNA from 1 species